AGAACAGAUUCAGUAUGUUUUGGCAUAUUCUUUACAGCUAUUUUCAUUGAUCUCUUAUUUAUGCAAAAAAUUUUAUUGAUGCUGAAUAACGUUAGUUCAUAGGAAGAGUUAGGCAACGGUCCUUUCUAAAUAGGCAACCUUUGAAGGCAAGCAAUAAGCAAUGUUUCUGAAGACCAUAAUAGAUAUCAUCUGACAGUUAUAACUGAUAUUUAGAGUCUUGCGUAAACAGCAAUGCCUGUUACUGCCAAAUAAAGUCUAAAGCGACUUUCAGUAAUAAUUUCCCUUUAUCUUGGGUUGACCUGGUGACUCUUAUAUUUUGAGCAAAUCUGCAUAGGUUGAGUUGGUAUGCAAUUGCUUAAUUUAGGUGUUCAUGGGUUGAUAAAUAUUUGAGUUAUUAAAAUUGGGUUUUUCUAACAAGAUAAAAUUACAUGACUGGAAUUAAUAAAUUCUGAGGCUAAUAGGAAACUGAGACUGUGAGGAAUUAGUUGUACGGCAAAGUCUCUACUAUAUAUGGCCAGCUAAGUACUUAAAGCCUGAUGAUAACUCGUCAUGAGUUCUAAUGGCCAGUGCCACUCUCUAUGCCGUAUAUAUUUAUUAUAAGGUUUGGUCACUUGCUCCAAUUAUAGGAUACGCAUACCUAUCUAGUUUUCCACCUCAAUAAUCAGAUUUGCUUAUUAUGUUCAACUUUGGUUUUUUUUUAUUUUUUAUCAGACACCUGGUGAGCCAAGGUUGUGU
rnacentral:misc_RNA from 1 species